rnacentral:rRNA from 1 species
GCGACCCCAGGAUGGGCGAGACCACCCGCCGAGU